GCCCCCAUAGUUCAAUGGAUAGAACGGCUCACUCCUAACGAGCAGAUCCAUGUUCGACUCAUGGUGGGGGCACCA
rnacentral:tRNA from 1 species